GCAUAUCAAUAAGCGGAGGAAAAGAAACCAACAGGGAUUACCUCAGUAACGGCGAGUGAAGCGGUAACAGCUCAAAUUUGAAAUCUGGCCUCACGGUCCGAGUUGUAAUUUGUAGAGGAUGCUUCGAGCAUGGUCUGGCCUAAGUUCCUUGGAACAGGACGUCAUAGAGGGUGAGAAUCCCGUAUGCGGUCAGGUGCCUACGCUCAUGUGAAGCUCCUUCGACGAGUCGAGUUGUUUGGGAAUGCAGCUCAAAAUGGGUGGUAAAUUUCAUCUAAAGCUAAAUAUUGGCCAGAGACCGAUAGCGCACAAGUAGAGUGAUCGAAAGAUGAAAAGCACUUUGGAAAGAGAGUUAAACAGUACGUGAAAUUGUUGAAAGGGAAGCGCUUGCAACCAGACUUGCGCGCGGCCGAUCAUCCGGUGUUCUCACCGGUGCACUCGGCCGUGCUCAGGCCAGCAUCGGUUUUGGCGGCUGGAUAAAGGCCCCAGGAAUGUGGCUCCUCUCGGGGAGUGUUAUAGCCUGGGGUGCAAUGCAGCCUGCUGGGACCGAGGACCGCGCUUCGGCUAGGAUGCUGGCGUAAUGGUUGUAAGCGGCCCGUCUUGAAACACGGACCAAGGAGUCUAACAUCUAUGCGAGUGUUUGGGUGUCAAACCCAUACGCGUAAUGAAAGUGAACGGAGGUGAGAACCCUUAAGGGUGCAUCAUCGACCGAUCCUGAUGUCUUCGGAAGGAUUUGAGUAAGAGCAUAGCUGUUGGGACCCGAAAGAUGGUGAACUAUGCCUGAAUAGGGUGAAGCCAGAGGAAACUCUGGUGGAGGCUCGCAGCGGUUCUGACGUGCAAAUCGAUCGUCAAAUUUGGGUAUAGGGGCGAAAGACUAAUCGAACCAUCUAGUAGCUGGUUCCUGCCGA
rnacentral:rRNA from 1 species